CUGAGCGGCGGACGGGUGAGUAACGCGUGGGUAACCUGCCUCACACAGGGGGAUAACAGUUAGAAAUGACUGCUAAUACCGCAUAAGACCACAGCACCGCAUGGUGCAGGGGUAAAAACUCCGGUGGUGUGAGAUGGACCCGCGUCUGAUUAGCUAGAUGGCGGGGUAACGGCCCACCAUGGCGACGAUCAGUAGCCGGUCUGAGAGGAUGAACGGCCACAUUGGGACUGAGAUACGGCCCAGACUCCUACGGGAGGCAGCAGUGGGGAAUAUUGGGCAAUGGGGGAAACCCUGACCCAGCAACGCCGCGUGAAGGAAGAAGGCCUUCGGGUUGUAAACUUCUUUUAGCAGGGACGAAGAACGUGACGGUACCUGCAGAAAAAGCAACGGCUAACUACAUGCCAGCAGCCGCGGUAAUACGUAGGUUGCAAGCGUUGUCCGGAUUUACUGGGCGUAAAGGGCGUGUAGGCGGAGAUGCAAGUUGGGAGUGAAAUCCCGGGGCUCAACCCCGGAACUGCUUUCAAAACUGCAUCCCUUGAGUAUCGGAGAGGCAAGCGGAAUUCCUAGUGUAGCGGUGAAAUGCGUAGAUAUUAGGAGGAACACCAGUGGCGAAGGCGGCUUGCUGGACGACAACUGACGCUGAGGCGCGAAAGCGUGGGGAGCGAACAGGAUUAGAUACCCUGGUAGUCCACGCGGUAAACGAUGAAUGCUAGGUGUAGGGGGUAUCGACCCCUCCUGUGCCGGAGUAAACACAAUAAGCAUUCCGCCUGGGGAGUACGGCCGCAAGGUUGAAACUCAAAGGAAUUGACGGGGGCCCGCACAAGCAGCGGAGCAUGUGGUUUAAUUCGACGCAACGCGAAGAACCUUACCAGGUCUUGACAUCCAAUUAAAGUCAUAGAGAUAUGAUGUGUCUUCGGACGAAUUGAGACAGGUGGUGCAUGGUUGUCGUCAGCUCGUGUUGUGAGAUGUUGGGUUAAGUCCCGCAACGAGCGCAACCCUUAUUGUCAGUUACUAACAGGUAGUGCUGAGGACUCUGACGAGACUGCCGGGGACAACUCGGAGGAAGGUGGGGACGACGUCAAAUCAUCAUGCCCCUUAUGACCUGGGCUACACACGUGCUACAAUGGUGGUAACAAAGAGGAGCGAACCUGUAAGGGCAAGCGGAUCUCAAAAAAGCCAUCUCAGUUCGGAUUGUGGGCUGCAACCCGCCCACAUGAAGUUGGAGUUGCUAGUAAUCGCGAAUCAGAAUGUCGCGGUGAAUACGUUCCCGGGCCUU
rnacentral:rRNA from 1 species